CCUACGGGCGGCAGCAGUGAGGAAUAUUGGUCAAUGGGCGGAAGCCUGAACCAGCCAAGUAGCGUGCGGGAUGAAGGCCCUACGGGUCGUAAACCGCUUUUGCACGGGGAUAACACCCUCCACUUGUGGAGGUCUGCAGGUACCGUGCGAAUAAGGGCCGGCUAAUUCCGUGCCAGCAGCGGCGGUAAUAGGGAAGGCCCGAGCUUUAUCCGGAUUCAUUGGGCUUAAAGGGAGCGUAGGCGGGCGUUCAAGUAAGCGGUAAAAAUCGCGCGGCUCAAGCGCGCCCCGCAGUUGAAACUGGACGCCUGGAGUUCACAAGCGGCAGGCGGAAUUCGUGGUGUAGCGGUGAAAUGCAUAGAUAUCACGAGGAACCCCGAUUGCGAAGGCAGCCUGCCGGGGUGCGACUGACGCUGAGGCUCGAAGGUGCGGGUAUCAAACAGGAUUAGAUACCCGUGUAGUC
rnacentral:rRNA from 1 species